UACGGGGGAUGCAAGCGUUAUCCGGAUUUAUUGGGUUUAAAGGGUGCGUAGGCGGCUUGGUAAGUCAGCGGUGAAAUUUCGGAGCUCAACUUCGAACGUGCCGUUGAUACUGGGAUGCUAGAAUGCGGAUGCCGUGGGAGGAAUGUGUGGUGUAGCGGUGAAAUGCAUAGAUAUCACACAGAACACCGAUUGCGAAGGCAUCUCACGAAUCCGCAAUUGACGCUGAGGCACGAAAGCGUGGGGAUCAAACAGG
rnacentral:rRNA from 1 species